GCACUGCUGACGAGUCCCAAAAAGGACGAAAGAACUGUACAGUAC
rnacentral:hammerhead_ribozyme from 1 species